rnacentral:rRNA from 1 species
CAGCAGCCACGGGAAUACGUAGGGUGCAAGCGUUAAUCGGAAUUACUGGGCGUAAAGCGUGCGCAGGCGGUUUGUUAAGACAGAUGUGAAAUCCCCGGGCUCAACCUGGGAACUGCAUUUGUGACUGGCAAGCUAGAGUAUGGCAGAGGGGGGUGGAAUUCCGCGUGUAGCAGUGAAAUGCGUAGAUAUGCGGAGGAACACCGAUGGCGAAGGCAGCCCCCUGGGCCAAUACUGACGCUCAUGCACGAAAGCGUGGGGAGCAAACAGGAUUAGAUACCCCGGUAGUCCCUGUCUCUUAUAC